AGCAGCCGCGGUAAUUCCAGCUCCAAUAGCGUAUAUUAAAGUUGUUGCAGUUAAAAAGCUCGUAGUUGAAUUUCGGGAUCAAUAUGUUGGUCGUGCCUCGGUACGUACUAGCAUAUUGGUUUCUCCUUUCUGAAGAACCAUGAUGUCAUUUAUUUGGUGUCGUGGGGAAUCAGGACUGUUACUUUGAAAAAAUUAGAGUGUUUAAAGCAGGCUCACGCUUGAAUACAUUAGCAUGGAAUAAUGAAAUAGGACGUUUGAUUCUAUUUUGUUGGUUUUUAGGAUCGACGUAAUGAUUAAUAGGGAUAGUUGGGGGCAUUAGUAUUCAAUCGUCAGAGGUGAAAUUCUUGGAUUUAUUGAAGACUAACUACUGCGAAAGCAUUUGCCAAGGAUGUUUUCAUUAAUCAAGAACGAAAGUUAGGGGAUCGAAGACGAUCAGAUACCGUCGUAGUCUUAACCAUAAACUAUGCCGACUAGGGAUCGGAUGAUGUUAAUUUUUUAAUGACUCA
rnacentral:rRNA from 1 species